UACGUAGGGGGCAAGCGUUGUCCGGAAUCAUUGGGCGUAAAGCGCGUGUAGGCGGUUCGAUAAGUCUGCUGUGAAAGUCCAGGGCUCAACCCUGGGAUGCCGGUGGAUACUGUCGGACUAGAGUACGGAAGAGGCGAGUGGAAUUCCCGGUGUAGCGGUGAAAUGCGCAGAUAUCGGGAGGAACACCAGUGGCGAAGGCGGCCUUCUGGACCAGCACUGACACUCAAGCACGAAAGC
rnacentral:rRNA from 1 species